AAUGAGGUAAGCUAAUUUCAAGCUAGUGGGCUCAUAACCCAAAAAUGACAACCUCCCUCAUUA
rnacentral:tRNA from 1 species